GCACCCAUAGCUCAGCUGGAUAGAGCGCUGCCCUCCGAAGGCAGAGGCCAGAGGUUCGAAUCCUCUUGGGUGCACCA
rnacentral:tRNA from 5 species